rnacentral:rRNA from 1 species
UACAGAGGGUGCAAGCGUUGUUCGGAAUUAUUGGGCGUAAAGCGCGUGUAGGCGGCUUUGCAAGUCGGGUGUGAAAGCCCUCGGCUCAACUGAGGAAGUGCGCCCGAAACUGCAGAGCUUGAGUGCCGGAGAGGGUGGCGGAAUUCCCCAAGUAGAGGUGAAAUUCGUAGAUAUGGGGAGGAACACCGGUGGCGAAGGCGGCCACCUGGACGGCAACUGACGCUGAUGACGCGAAAGCGUGGGGAGCGAUCCGG